AUCGAACGCUGGCGGCAGGCCUAACACAUGCAAGUCGAGCGGCCCGGCCGACGGGUGCGUAAUGCCUAGGAUUCUGCCUGGUAGUAGGGGCUACCGUCCGGAAACGGGCGCUAGUAACGCAUUCUAUCAAUUGAUCCUAGGUCGGAGUAGCUAGUCGGAGGGGUAAAGGCCUACCAGGGCGACGAUCCUCACCGGGUCUGAGAGGAUGAUCAGUCACACUGGAACUGAGACCCGGUCCAGACUCCUAGGGAGGGCAGCGGUGGGGAAUAUUGGACAAUGGGCGAAAGCCUGAUCCAGCCAUGCCGCGGAUGUUAAGAGGGUCUUCGGAGUGUAAAGCACUUUAAGUUGGGAGGCGUUACCAACAGAAUAAGCACCGGCUAACUUCGUGCCAGCAGCCGCGGUAAUUC
rnacentral:rRNA from 1 species